rnacentral:tRNA from 1 species
CUUCGUCGGGCGCCGUGGCGUGAACCGGCUUGCGCCCGGUGGAAGUGCCGGAACGUACCGGCGAUCGCGUCGCCGACGUGGG